rnacentral:lncRNA from 1 species
GCUUGAACGGAUGAACUUUGUCACAUAGUGUUCAUUCAAGCUGCAGCAUAUAUAUCUUCUCCUGGGUGCUUGUGUCACCAAGGACUUGGGUAAUCUGACGGCGGUUGGAAACAUCAAUGUGUUAUAAUUGAUUAAUUCCGUCAUCAAAUUAUUCUCAAUGUGGGUAAAUCCAUACUUGUUGAUCCACAUUGGGACAAGUUCAGGGACCGCUGGAAUUACAAGGUUUUCCACAUUGAGC